GGGGAUAUAGCUCAGUUGGUAGAGUGCUUGCCUUGCAUGCACAAGGCCCUGGAUUCAAUUCUCAGUACCCCCA
rnacentral:tRNA from 1 species